rnacentral:lncRNA from 10 species
AGGACUCCCAGAAAGAGAAAUGUUUUGAGUGCACCUUGCAUCUGUACUUGGGUGUCUCAAGGCACCUUAAACUCAACACGAUCAUUUCCUGGAAACCCAGUCCUCCUCCAGCACUUCUAGCAUGGUGCCGGCAAAGCAGACAUUCAGAGAAUGAUGACCAGAUGUUCCACAAGGAAGUAACUAGCACGACUCUCCAUCCAGUGGCACAAAGCGACUCUUCCCCUUUC